AGGGGUGUAGCUCAGUGGUAGAGCACGUGCUUAGCAUGCCUGAGGUCCUGGGUUCAAUCUUUAGUAUCUCCA
rnacentral:tRNA from 1 species